AAGUGAAGCCAUAAAGUGGAAUUUGAUACACCACAUUCAUUUCCAUAGGAAACACACUGACCUCAAACACAACUGUCUGCUUUUCUCCUAUCAGUGUCUUUGUGAGUUUCCACACACCUUGUCCUCUGCACAGACAGUCCUCCCUGACCUGCUUGACCAGACCAUUAGCCUUUCUUGUCAUGUUUUGAAAUAGGAUACGGGAAAAAUUUAAGCUGAUUCAGAAUACUGAAAAAAGGUCUUAAAACUGGGAUUUAAAAGAAAAGCAGUAGCAGUAGCACAUAUUGAGAAAUGCUAUCCUGUAACAUCAUUAAUAUUUAUGCUUCUCAUAUUCUUUAUUUGGAUCAAUGUAUAGGAAACCUGGAGAAUUAUAACCAGCACCGAUAGUACACCCCAGUUACCUGGCCAUGGAAAGUAUUGCAAAGAUAGAAGCAGCCACAGAAAAUAUAUCUAAGACCAAGUCCCUGCCCUGAAGAGCUUGCACUAAGUAUCAGAUAUUUAAAGCACACACAAUUUUCAU